AAACUAUUAAUUAAAAUAAUAAUAAUAAUAAUAAUAAUAAUAACAAUAAUAAUAAUAAUGAUAAUAAAACACACACACUGCUGAUGUAGAGGUCUCAAAAAUCUGUGUGACACACUCGGCAUUACAAGGUUAAGUUUCUGAAGGAACUGAUCUUCAUUAGGUUCUUGCAUGAAAAGGUGGCAUCAUGGCAAAUGCAGCACCCGUCCUAUAUAUGCAGCCCCUGAACCGCAGCAGCAGCUAUGAUCUUCUGCCACCUGACAUGUCUGAGCUGAGGGUUGUUCUGCUGGGGGGCAGCUGGUCUGAGAGGAAUUCAGUGGGAGAUUUCAUAGUUGGACAGAUGGCUUUCAACAAGGCACCUAACUCCUUUG